rnacentral:lncRNA from 1 species
CCAUCCCCAAACGUUGCUUUUUCCUUUAUAGCAACAUAGUUACCAAACAUACUUUUUAUUUUUUUGCUUUACUCAAUAGCAAAAAUUAAAAAAAUAAAAAAUACUUUUUAAAAAUUAAAAAUCAAAAAGUAUAACCAAAUACACCCUAGAAGAGAGAAAAGUCUUUAUUAAAAAAUAAUCAAGCCAUACAAGGAAGCUCCUUACCAAAGAGGAUA